GUUAGGAAUAUUGGACAAUGGGCGCAAGCCUGAUCCAGCCAUGCCGCGUGAGUGAUGAAGGCCUUCGGGUUGUAAAGCUCUUUAGCCGAUGAUUAUAAUGACUGUAGUCGGAAAAUAAGCCCCGGCUAACUUCGUGCCAGCAGCCGCGGUAAUACGCAGGGGGCGAGCGUUAUUCGGAAUCACUGGGCGUAAAGCGUGCGUAGGCGGCUUUGCAAGUUGGGAGUGAAAGCCCAGGGCUCAACCCUGGAAUUGCUCUCAAAACUGCAAGGCCCGAAUUCGGGAGAGGAUAGCGGAAUUGUCAGUGUAGCAGUGAAAUGCGUAGAUAUUGACAGGAACACCAGUGGCGUAAGCGGCUAUCUGGACCGAUAUUGACGCUGAGGCACGAAAGCGUGAGGAUCAAACAGGAUUAGAAACCCCAGUAGUCC
rnacentral:rRNA from 1 species